rnacentral:rRNA from 1 species
CCCUUAGAUGUUCUGGGCCGCACGCGCGCUACACUGAUGCAUUCAACGAGCCUAUCCUUGACCGACAGGUCCGGGUAAUCUUUGAAUCUGCAUCGUGACGGGGAUAGAUUAUUGCAAUUAUUAAUCUUCAACGAGGAAUGCCUAGUAGGCGCAAGUCAUCAGCUUGCGUCGAUUGCGUCCCUGCCCUUUGUACACACCGCCCGUCGCUCCUACCGAUUGGGUGUGCUGGUGAAAUGUUCGGAUCGGCCGUUUGUCGCGGUUUCCGCGGCUCGUGGCUGAGAAGUUCAUUAAACCCUCCCACCGAGAGGAAGGAGAAGUCGUAACA